rnacentral:rRNA from 1 species
GGACGAACGCUGGCGGCGUGCUUAACACAUGCAAGUCGAACGAGACGAUUUAGAAGCUUGCUUUUAUUGAGUCGAGUGGCAAACGGGUGAGUAACGCGUAGACAACCUGCCGCAAAGAUGGGGACAACAGUCCGAAAGGACUGCUAAUACCGAAUGUUGUAUCUCCUCCGCAUGGAAGAGAUAUUAAAGAUGGCCUCUACUUGUAAGCUAUCGCUUUGCGAUGGGUCUGCGUCUGAUUAGCUAGUUGGUGGGGCAACGGCCUACCAAGGCGACGAUCAGUAGCCGGUCUGAGAGGAUGAACGGCCACAUUGGAACUGAGACACGGUCCAGACUCCUACGGGAGGCAGCAGUGGGGAAUCUUCCGCAAUGGGCGAAAGCCUGACGGAGCAACGCCGCGUGAGUGAAGAAGGUCUUCGGAUCGUAAAGCUCUGUCUUUAGGGACGAUAAUGACGGUACCUAAGGAGGAAGCCACGGCUAACUACGUG